GAUGAACGCUGGCGGCGUGCCUAAUACAUGCAAGUAGAACGCUGAAGGAGGAGCUUGCUCUUCUGGAUGAGUUGCGAACGGGUGAGUAACGCGUAGGUAACCUGCCUGGUAGCGGGGGAUAACUAUUGGAAACGAUAGCUAAUACCGCAUGACAACAGUUAUUGCAUGAUAACUGUUUAAAAGGGGCAACUGCUCCACUACCAGAUGGACCUGCGUUGUAUUAGCUAGUUGGUGAGGUAACGGCUCACCAAGGCGACGAUACAUAGCCGACCUGAGAGGGUGAUCGGCCACACUGGGACUGAGACACGGCCCAGACUCCUACGGGAGGCAGCAGUAGGGAAUCUUCGGCAAUGGACGGAAGUCUGACCGAGCAACGCCGCGUGAGUGAAGAAGGUUUUCGGAUCGUAAAGCUCUGUUGUAAGAAAAGAACGAGUGUGAGAGUGGAAAGUUCACACUGUGACGGUAUCUUACCAGAAAGGGACGGCUAACUACGUG
rnacentral:rRNA from 1 species